UCCCUUCUAGCUUAAGUUGAGAAAGCGUUAGUUUGAAGAGCUAGAGAUACUGGUUUGUGGUGGGAA
rnacentral:tRNA from 1 species